UACGUAGGGUGCAAGCGUUGUCCGGAAUUAUUGGGCGUAAAGAGCUCGUAGGCGGUCUGUCGCGUCUGCUGUGAAAACUCAGGGCUUAACCCUGAGCUUGCAGUGGGUACGGGCAGACUAGAGUGCGGUAGGGGAGAGUGGAAUUCCUGGUGUAGCGGUGAAAUGCGCAGAUAUCAGGAGGAACACCGGUGGCGAAGGCAGGUCUCUGGGCAGGAACUGACGCUGAGGAGCGAAAGCAUGGGGAGCGAACAGG
rnacentral:rRNA from 1 species